ACCCAAGCAUUUAACCCACCUCAUUUGCUCUGCCAUUUUUGAAAAAAAAUAAUACGCCCCCCCAAAUCUUAGUUAAGAUUUCAACCCAAGUCUGAGGAAGCCGUAAUAGAGGAUCAUCGGCAUUUCUAUGCCUCCGUCUCCAACGCCGAUCACGGCGUGAACCCAGGUUCCUAGGCGGGUACGCCUCUGACGUGGCUUGGUGAAGGGCGUACGACUCGGAGGAGGAGCGCGACGUGCGAGGGAGGGGCGCUGGGCGUGGGCACGAGUAGCAGCUUGCCUGGGGUUUUCACUUUGCUAGAAAAAAAAGUUUAAGUUAUUGGGCUAAAAGCUUGGGCUAGGGUUUAGUCUAUUUUUUUUUUAUUUUGGGCUUAAAGUUGGACUGUUUGAUUCUUUGGUUUAGGAGUUGUGUUUAAUGAAUUGUAUUUUGGGCCGAGUAAAAAUUGAGUCCAACAGCUUAUGUUUAUCCUUAAACUAUUUUUCUAUAGAUUAUUUGUUUUCAAAUUCUAAUAUAUCGUAUGACUUAAACUCUUUACA